rnacentral:pre_miRNA from 1 species
UUUUUAGUAUAAGUAUGUUUCAUGCAGUAUUUGCGACAUAUUUAUACUAAAA